AUUGAACGCUGGCGGCAGGCCUAACACAUGCAAGUCGAGCGGAUGAAGGGAGCUUGCUCCUGGAUUCAGCGGCGGACGGGUGAGUAAUGCCUAGGAAUCUGCCUGGUAGUGGGGGAUAACGUCCGGAAACGGGCGCUAAUACCGCAUACGUCCUGAGGGAGAAAGUGGGGGAUCUUCGGACCUCACGCUAUCAGAUGAGCCUAGGUCGGAUUAGCUAGUUGGUGGGGUAAAGGCCUACCAAGGCGACGAUCCGUAACUGGUCUGAGAGGAUGAUCAGUCACACUGGAACUGAGACACGGUCCAGACUCCUACGGGAGGCAGCAGUGGGGAAUAUUGGACAAUGGGCGAAAGCCUGAUCCAGCCAUGCCGCGUGUGUGAAGAAGGUCUUCGGAUUGUAAGGCACUUUAAGUUGGGAGGAAGGGCAGUAAGUUAAUACCUUGCUGUUUUGGCGUUACCAACAGAAUAAGCACCGGCUAACUUCGUG
rnacentral:rRNA from 1 species